UCUACAGUCUGCGGAAGCAGGGGAGGACUGUGCAAAUUCCCAACGAGCUCCGGGAUUCAAUCCGCUGCCAAGGCACUCACCAGUCACCACAGGCUUAUCUUUGAAAGAGCUCGAGCACUGUGUCUGUUGUAAAAUUCGUUCGUUUCCGUUGUCUCGGAAAAGCAACAUGCUGGUAUAGUAAAUAUAGGGCAAAUCGUUGUUUUUUUAUUCCUUCCAAGCGCACAUUUCUGUUUGAUUUUUAUCUGAAUAAUAAUUUAUUUUCGUGGAUAUUUUCGUUAUUUUCUUCCACGGUGGAACGUGCGGAGCACGAUGUGCACAUGCGGUGGGAUGCUCAGGGUUCUCCUGACAGUUCUCAGUUGAGUGAUGGAGAUUUGAUCGGUAAACAUUCGCUUGUUUUGUUUUUACACAAUAUAUACAUAAUUUAUGAACGAAUGAAAAAAUACCAAGAAGGACUGCAAAGAUUCGACUGAUCUUUUUUGAAAGAGUUGUGCGUGCAGUCUUCUGCAUGGUUGCUAUAGCCAACAUCUCAUUGCCAUUUUAAUUUGUUUAAUUUAACUUUUCCAUCCGAAGUGCCACUGUUAGCAUCAUUUCCGUAUCAUGUAUUCACAAUUCAAUAUAAUUCCGCAAUUGAGACUCGGCUAGUUUAGCCUAAAUAUCCAGCUUAUUUCCGUACCGUUAUUGGACCGAGGAGAGUGCACAGACCCGACGGAGACAUGGCUAAAAACCCGUCCGAGGGACCCAAUGAGCCAGAUCUGAAUCAGCUACCGGACGAAGAGCUGCUGCAAUGGGGCAAGGAGCAGCUGGUCAACAGGCUAAGGAGAGUGGACAGCGAGAAGUUAUACCUGAUGAUUGAGCACGGCAACAUGAUGAAAGACGUUAACCGGAGGCUGCAGGUGCACCUGCACGAGAUCCGCAACCUGAAGGAGAUCAACCAGAAGCUCCAGGACGACAACAAUGAGCUGCGCGAGCUCUGCUGCUUCCUGGACGACGACCGGCAGAAGGGCAAGAAGCUGUCCCGGGAGUGGCAGCGGUUUGGCCGGUACUCCGCGAACGCCAUGUGGAAGGAGGUGGGCACCUACCAGCUGAAGCUCAAAGAGCUCGAGGCCAACCAGGAGACAGUGGUGCGAGAGAACACGGACCUGAAGGAGAUCAUCUUCAUGCUGGAUGAGGAGAGGAACGGAGCCGGUUCCCGGAGCUCCAUAGACUCUCAGUCCAGCCUCACCAACCUGAACGGCGGGACAGGGAUAGUUCGGGACUUCGGGGAUGGCAGUAGUACCUCCAGCACGGGGAGCGCAGGUAGCCCUGACCACCACCACAGCCACAACCACAUACACAAGCUGCCCGCGGAGAGGGAGGGCAAGCUGGGCAGCACCUUCCAGAGGAGGUCCAUGGAUGACCUGUCAGGGCCACACCAUCACAGGAGCAUCCCUAAUGGACUCAAUGACUCCUCCACUAACUACAUCAGACAGCUGGAGACCAAAAUGAGGAUAUUGGAAGACGACAACAACAAGCUUUUGACGCAGCAGCAGUGUAACCCAGGGGACCUGCGUGUCCUGAGGAAGGGGAUGACCCUGUACCAUUCUGAGUCUCAGCUGUCAUCCCUGCCACAACGCCAGGACGCACUGCACAACGGCACGGUUGGUCGUCUCCCCACCAGCGAGUCAACCCCGGUAACAGGCUACCUGUCCUGUGUUCAGAAACCAGAGGCUGUGGUCCACGCCAUGAAGGUACGACAACUUCACAUUAUCUCUCACAGCACAUCAACUACAACAACAACAGCUCUCCUCAUGAUAAUUCUACAACAGCCAUACACAACAGGCAGACCCCAGAUCCGGACCCAGAACGAGGUCAAUACGGACGUUGGGGCCCAAAAUUUUUAUUUUAUUUUUUAUAAUGGAAUUCAGUCGGGAUUCGACUCAUAGUGUCAUAUGAACACACAUAAAACAUGAAAAACGUGUAGAAUUGCAGGUUAUUAGCUUUAAAACUGCAUUUUUCUUUUCUUUCGACCAACAAGAUGGCUGUGAACAGUCUGAACAGUUUGGGGUCACAUGGGUUGUGAGGUGGGGGUUUGUUUCUAUGCCGAUAAAUUACAAUAUCCAUCCGGACCUUUGUCACCUAGGACAUUUGUGCCUUCUCAAAAAAUGAGUAUCCCUGCUCUACAAUCUCAAUGUCACAGGUAAAACACCAACGUCAGACUGGAACAACACAGUGACAACACAGGUAUCUUUUGGUUAUCACUACGGCAACAGUUUCCAUGGAACGACACAAUAUUUACAUCUUUACAGUUAUUCAGAAAAUAAGCGAAAGGAAUAAAACAACAAUAUGUACAUAACAGCCAACUGCUUUAAACAGCGACUCACAUUUAUUCACUAACUUGGUUUCAUGAUCAUAUAUGCCUGAUUGUACCAGGUGUUGGAGGUGCACGAGAACCUGGAUAAGAAGCAGGUCCCAGAGGACUACGAGGAGGAUCUCAGUGAGAAGGAGAAGGCCAUCGUUAGAGAGAUGUGUAACGUGGUGUGGAGAAAGCUGGGCGACGUGGCAGGAUCUAAGCCGUCUAUCAGACAGCAUCUCUCUGGUAACCAGUUCAAAGGCCCCAUGUAGUCCAUAGCAACCAGAGAGGGAGAAAGAGAGAGAGAGAGACCUUCCUACAUGAUCUCCAUUCCUACUACCUACACUACCCAUAACACCAUUCUCCCGCUGACUAUAGGUCCCAUCACCCACCAUUCUCCUGGGAUAUGUGACUGGAUAUUAUACGACCCAGGAAAACCACAGAAUGGACCUCUCAGUCUCUCCCUCACCACUAGUCAACUCCCCAUACACACACAUUUCGUUUGAACUUCCAGUGUUGUUGAUAACUGGCAGCUAGUUUCUCUGAUUUGCCACUUUCCUUGUAUUACAGAUUUUAGGUUUAUAGUUAGACAGGCUUACACUUUACACAGUGUUGAUGACUAUUACAGACCAAACUCUCAUGUUGUUGUUUUGUUUUAUGCUAAAAAAAAGAAAGAAACUCAGAUGAGAGCUAUAGGAUCUCUAGGAUGUUAACGUGACGCUGUGAUAAUGUCAGAUAUGGUUACAUUUUGGGUUACAAGUGUCUCGUAUGGACAAAUCUAGGAUCAGCUUCAUCCACCUUCAAUCCUGAUCUUGAGCCUUUAGAGGUAAUGUACAGAACUGACCAUGGAGCAGUGUCCAGGAGCAAUGUCACCCCACUCCUUCAUAGUACUUCCCAAUAAAAAAAAAACAGCUAGCUCCUCUGUUAGUUGUGCUUUGCCUUUAUCGGGUUGAUUAGCAUAAUUAGCAUUAGCUAAUGCUAGCCUUAGCGUAAUUAGCCUUAGCUAAUGCUAGCUUUAGCAGAAUUAGCAUUAGCUAAUGCUUGCCUUAGCAGAAUUAGCAUUAGCAUCCAAAGUGUUAAUACGUGAUACCCAUUGUGAUAUGAUACAUAGCACCCUAUGCUCAUAAGAGAAGUCUAUUAUUAAUACAAUACUAUUAUAGAGAUCAUUUUUAAAACGAGUGUAAAAUAUGUAAUCAAAAAAAACAUAGCACUGCGUUGUUGUUGUUGUUAUCGUUUAUUUUGAGCUUUUUGUUUUUUAUUAUUAUUCUAGCGUGGCCAUGUGUUAUAAACGGACUGUUUUGUGGGUUUUAUGUUUUACAAAAGCACACAGCUGAACAGGGUUCUUUCUAAGGUAACCACUCUUCUUUUUACUGUAGUUUGUUGAAACAAAUGAUUACUUCAUCUCCUCUGUAAACGUAUCAAGGCCAUUUUAAAUCUAAACCGUCUCAGCCAAGAGUCAAUGUUUUUUUUGUUUUUUUACAAAAAUGUACUAGGUUGUGUCUGCUCUAAGACAAUCAUGUUUCUCAGGUUGGGAAAUAACGAGAGCUUUCCCCCGACCCUGUGGCUCCUCUGUGGAUAUCGUGGGGAUUCUUUGUUGACGUUUGGCCAGGCUGCCUGUGUGUACUGUAGUUCUCUGUAACAGACUGAUGACACCUGGUUACUACAGGGUUAGAGACUGCUGAACACAUUUUAUUGCAUUCAUUUUAUAUGAAAUAAUAAGUUUCAUAAAUCUCCAUGACAGAAUGUUUCAGAAAUGUUCUCUGAAACUUUAAGGAUUUUAUGCUACUGUCAUGGGGCAGAUCAGACUAAUUUGGCUAUUUUUGGUCAUCAGUAACUAUUGCAUUAAUCAAAACACUGUACAACACAGUAUUUUAAUUGAAAGCUAAGAAAGUUGUCAAAUAAAUGGAAUGCUUUUCAUUUCAAUUAGCAUAAUAUGACUGUGUUUUUAGCCAUGGUGGAUACAGCAGAUGAGUUUCAGCAGUGGACUGUGCAUGUUUUGUAGAAAAUGAUUUCUGUCGGAAUGUGAGAAAGAGCAAGUCUUCCCUUAGAUGCUUUUGGAUACAGCUACGUUUUAGCGAAGUUAUAAUGAUGUCAGAUGAAAUAAUAAGUACUGUUAUGACCUAUCAGGAGAUUUUGAUUGGUAUCCAGGUCUUUUGAUUGGGCAAUUGGUAAUGAUUGACAGCUCAAGCUCUCCUGGCUCUAGUAUUAGUUUUUCCAAAUUAGAACAUUGAGGCUUCUGACCGUACAUGCGUAGGAUUCGUCCUCCUCGGGUUCUCUCUAAUAGGGUCUACUACAACUACAAAAAAUAAAAUGAAAGUAUGUAUUUUCAAAGUGUCCUUUUUUUCUAGGAACAACUGAUUUGAAGCUAUGAUGAUAUAAUGAUAUAAUGAUAUGUUAUAAUGAUAUAAUGCUUUUCAGUCUGGCAUUUUGAUUUGAGAUGUGCCACAUUUUUCUCUGCAUGGGAUUUUGAGUUGGAACCUGUGUUUUGAACUUUGUUGUAUUUUUCUAAUUCUGUAUAUUUGUGCUAAACUAGAAGUCAUGAUGAUCCUAGAACCUAGUCUGCAUCUCAAAAUAGCAAUGUAUUCCCUAGUGCACUACUUUUGACCACUGCCUUGUGCUGA